rnacentral:misc_RNA from 1 species
UGGAAAGCAUGACCUAUUAGGUGUUGGUUUUAAUCAAGAACAAGUUCAUGAGUAUUUUCAACUUAUUAUAUGUAAUAGCCUUGGAGUUGCUGAUGUGCCAAACACUUAUGUAGAAGUUAUCGUGUAAAGGACUUUUUUUUGUCCUUUUGAAUAGGGGGUUUGGAGGAAUAGCGACCCAAACUGAUUCUGCCUGAUAUGUUUUCAGCCACCAAAUCAAGUCAAGUCACUGUGUAAAAGACUUCUGUAAAAAUCUUGUGUAAUUGUGGCUUCCCAGUACUCUUUGACUCAUUUUAUUGAAAUACCGAAGCUUUGUUUUUG